rnacentral:rRNA from 1 species
CGUGCGCGAAAGUACCCUUCGGGGGGCGAGUAGAGCGGCGAACGGGUGAGUAACACGUAAGCAACCUGCCUCCAAGUUCGGGAUAACCUUGCCAACGCGGGGCUAAUACCGGAUGUGGUCACGAAUCCGCAUGGUUUUGUGACUAAAGCUGACCUCUGCUUGCACGUUAGCGCUUGGAGAUGGGCUUGCGGCCCAUUAGCUUGUUGGUGGGGUAAUGGCCUACCAAGGCGACGAUGGGUAGCCGACCUGAGAGGGUGAUCGGCCACAUUGGGACUGAGAUACGGCCCAGACUCCUACGGGAGGCAGCAGUAGGGAAUUUUUGCGCAAUGGACGAAAGUCUGACGCAGCGACGCCGCGUGAGCGAUGAAGGUCUUCGGAUUGUAAAGCUCUGUUGAGUGGGAAGAAAACCUUCGGGGACAAUACCCUCGGAGCUUGACGGUACCACUCGAGGAAGCCCCGGCUAACUACGUGCCAGCAGCCGCGGUAAUACGUAGGGGGCUAGCGUUGUUCGGAAUCACUGGGCGUAAAGGGAGUGUAAGGCGGGAAGGUAAGUAAGGAGUUAAAUUCACAGGGCUUAACCUGUGGGCUGCUCUUAAAUACUGCCUUUCUUGAGUAUGGGAGAGGGUUGAUGGAAUUCCCAGGUGUAGCGGUGGAAUGCGUAGAUAUCUGGAGGACCACCAGUUGCGAAGGCGGUCACAUGGCCCAAUACUGACGCUGAGGCUCGAAAGCUAGGGGAGCGACCAGGAUUAGAUACCCUGGUAGUCCUAGCCGUAUACGAUGGAUACUAGUGGCUGGCAGGAGUCAAUCCUUUCAGUGACGAAGUUAACGCAUUAAGUAUCCCGCACUGGGGAAUACGGCUCGCAACGGGUGAAACUCAAAGGAAUUUGACCGGGGUCCCGCACAAGCGGUGGAGCAUGUGCUCUAAUUCGAUGCAACGCGAAGAACCUUACCUGGGUUUGACAUGGGAGUGAAAGGAUCCAGAGAUGGAACCCCUUCCGCAAGGAACACUUCACACAGGUGCUGCAUGGUUGUCGUCAGCUCGUGUCGUGAGAUGUUGGGUUAAGUCCCGCAACGAGCGCAACCCCUGCCCUUAGUUGCCAUCAGGUAAAGCUGGGAACUCUAAGGGGCCCCCUUGUCGUAACAGGAGAAGGUGGGGAUGACGUCAAAUCAUCAUGGCCCUUACGCCCAGGGCUAGACACGUGCUACAAUGGUCGGUACAAUGGGAUGCGAACCUGCGAGGGCAAGCUAAUCCCAGAAAACCGGCCUCAGUCCGGAUUGGAGUCUGCAACUCGACUCCAUGAAGUUGGAAUCGCUAGUAAUCGCGGAUCAGCAUGCCGCGGUGAAUACGUUCCCGGGCCUU